rnacentral:lncRNA from 1 species
CAGGGCGCGCUGUCCCAUUCCCUGAGCCCAGGGCGCGCUGUCCCAUUCCCUGAGCCCAGGACGCGCUGUCCCAUUCCCUGAGCCCAGGACGCGCUGUCCCAUUCUCUGAGAGGCUCUCUGAGCCCAAGACCAACUGUCCCAUUCCCUGAGCCCAAGACCAACUGUCCCAUUCUCUGAGAGACAGUGACACUAACAGACGUGCUGAAGAACUGUAUUGGCCUUCAGAAGAUUUGCCCAAAAUACCAACCAGGCUCCAUUGUUUUUUCAGCCCGUUGGGGAUGAGAGCCAGGCCCGCGUGGUGGAGCUGGCUGGACAGAAGCCUGAUUUUGACUUUAAAGUCAAAGGGCACCUGGAGAUCGGAGAGGGGCUGGACAUCAUCAGGCAGAGGCGGCUGGCUCAUGUCUCCGGUCACCGGUCGUAUUACCUGCGGGGGGCCGGGGCUCGGCUGCAGGCUGCUCUGCAGAGCUUCGCCCUGGACAAGCUGCAGCGCAGGGUGGGACAGUGGGCGAGCGUCUCUGUCUGUCACUUGGGUGCUCUGGCUGUUCUGCUCCUCUUUCGUCCCUCUCUGUGGGCUGUUUGUGUGGCUCUUCUGCCCCUGUGGAACACCAGACAGUUACAAACAAGGAGAGAUCGUUCAGCCUAUCUGCCCCUUUUGUUAGUAGCUUAUUAGCUGAGGCUCUUGACCUCAUCACCGUCCACAGCAUGGUUGGGUAGCUUGUUUUAGACCCCACGUCUCUGACUCCCCCCCCGUUCCAUACUGCCUCCCACUUACCUCCGAAAGCUGGUGGAGGUGGCUCACCCAGUCUUUCUUAAAGACUCAUGCAGCCUCAACAGGCAACAGACUAUUCAUAGAGAGUCCACAGAG